rnacentral:rRNA from 1 species
AGUGAACGCUGGCGGUAGGCCUAACACAUGCAAGUCGAACGGCAGCACAGUAAGAGCUUGCUCUUACGGGUGGCGAGUGGCGGACGGGUGAGGAAUACAUCGGAAUCUACUUUUUCGUGGGGGAUAACGUAGGGAAACUUACGCUAAUACCGCAUACGACCUACGGGUGAAAGCAGGGGAUCUUCGGACCUUGCGCGAAUGAAUGAGCCGAUGUCGGAUUAGCUAGUUGGCGGGGUAAAGGCCCACCAAGGCGACGAUCCGUAGCUGGUCUGAGAGGAUGAUCAGCCACACUAGAACUGAGACACGGUCCAGACUCCUACGGGAGGCAGCAGUGGGGAAUAUUGGACAAUGGGCGCAAGCCUGAUCCAGCCAUACCGCGUGGGUGAAGAAGGCCUUCGGGUUGUAAAGCCCUUUUGUUGGGAAAGAAAAGCAGCAGGUUAAGACCCCGCUGUUCUGACGGUACCCAAAGAAUAAGCACCGGCUAACUUCGUG